GAGUUUGAUCAUGGCUCAGGAUAAACGCUGGCGGCGUGCAUGAGACAUGCAAGUCGAACGGACGAGUGGGCUUGCUCACUCGUUAGUGGCGGACGGCUGAGUAACGCGUAGGUGACCUGCCCCGAAGUGGGGAAUAACUGCCCGAAAGGGUGGCUAAUACCGCAUGUGGUGCCACGUUCAUUCGUGUCUCCAAAGCCGCAAGGCGCUUCGGGAGGGGCCUGCGUCCGAUUAGCUCGUUGGUGGGGUAAUGGCUCACCAAGGCGACGAUCGGUAGGUGGUCUGAGAGGACGAUCACCCAGACUGGGACUGAGACACGGCCCAGACUCCUACGGGAGGCAGCAGUCGGGAAUUUUGCUCAAUGGGCGCAAGCCUGAAGCAGCAACGCCGCGUGGGGGAUGACGGCCUUCGGGUUGUAAACCUCUUUUCCAGGGGACGAUAAUGACGGUACCCGGGGAAUAAGUCACGGCUAACUACGUGCCAGCAGCCGCGGUAAUACGUAGGUGACGAGCGUUGUCCGGAUUUACUGGGCGUAAAGAGCGCGCAGGCGGUCGUAUAAGUCGAGUGUGAAAUCCCCCGGCUCAACUGGGGAACGUCGCUCGAUACUGUUCGACUCGAAGGCGGGAGAGGGAAGCGGAAUUCCCGGUGUAGUGGU
rnacentral:rRNA from 1 species